rnacentral:rRNA from 1 species
CCAACAGAUGCGCUCUUACUUCAAACCUUUCUAGGAGUAGAAUAGGUCGGUCGAUGAUGCGCUUCGGACACGCGGAACGAAGAUCUCACCUCGGCUGCCAGGCAGCCUUUACUUUCAUUGCGCCUUUGGGUUUCGGUCACCCCAAGACUUGCGCACAUGUUAGACUCCUUGGUCCGUGUUUCAAGACGGGUCAGAUGAAGCCAUAUGGCCGCCAACAACCUAGGUGCAUAGUGUGCGCGAUCCUCCCGAAUGACCAACAGCAGUUCAGACGCACUGCAAGCAGUCCGCCAUGCUCGACAAUCGAUCAAGAGAAGGACGCCAGCCCCCUAGAGAGCAUGCACCGUUCGCCUCUGCCAAACUCGAACUGGGAAUGCCACGGGCUAUAACAACGCAAGUCCGAAGACACACGCCUACCUUCCCGAGCACCGUAUCGCUCAAGUCAAGCAGCUGUUGACGCGCUCCGACGAGAAGUGCGACGAGCACAAGACCAAGCCAAGCAGCGACAGUCCAUUCGGAUCCACACACUGCCCGUCCAGCCAGGUGACCGCCUGAAUCUCGCCGAAGCAUUGCUAACUGCAUCCGUUUCCCCACUAACGGUUUCACGCACUUUUUAACUCUCUUUAUCAAAGUUCUUUUC